AGGAUAUCUUGAACAUCGACAUCUUGAACGCAUAUUGCGGCCUCAGGUCUCCCCUGUGGCCACGCCUGGCGAGGGUCG
rnacentral:rRNA from 1 species